GGAAUGAGCGGCGGACGGGUGAGUAACACGUGGGCAACCUGCCUGUAAGACUGGGAUAACCCCGGGAAACCGGGGCUAAUACCGGAUAAUACUUUCUUUUGCAUAAAGGAAAGUUGAAAGGCGGCUUCGGCUGUCACUUACAGAUGGGCCCGCGGCGCAUUAGCUAGUUGGUGAGGUAACGGCUCACCAAGGCGACGAUGCGUAGCCGACCUGAGAGGGUGAUCGGCCACACUGGGACUGAGACACGGCCCAGACUCCUACGGGAGGCAGCAGUAGGGAAUCUUCCGCAAUGGACGAAAGUCUGACGGAGCAACGCCGCGUGAGUGAUGAAGGUUUUCGGAUCGUAAAACUCUGUUGUUAGGGAAGAACAAGUUGGGUAGUAACUGACCCAACCUUGACGGUACCUAACCAGAAAGCCACGGCUAACUACGUGCCAGCAGCCGCGGUAAUACGUAGGUGGCAAGCGUUGUCCGGAAUUAUUGGGCGUAAAGCGCUCGCAG
rnacentral:rRNA from 1 species